ACAAAGGCCUUACCUCCUCCUCCCUCUCUCUCCGGAAGGCCUGUCUUUCUCCCUUCUCCUCCGGAAGUGAGCUCAGAGAGAAUUGCGUCACCUACUUCUCUUCCGUUUCCUCUCUACUUCCGCCCGGUCUAAACAUGGCGGCAGCGGGCAGGCGAACCAUAGAGGGGCGUGGCCUGGCUGUAUUGAUCUGUAGCAGGGGUCCCCAAAGUAAGGCCCGGGGGCCGGAUGCGGCCCAUUGAAGCCAUUUAUCCGGCCCCCACGGCACAAGGGCAGAAGGGGGUUGGGCUAAAUGACCCAAGGGGUCUCUUCUUCUCUUACAACCCCUAUUAUUAUUAUUAUUAUUAUUAUUAUUAUUAUUAUUAACAUUGAGGCUGGGUGGCCAUCUGUCAGGGGUGCUUUGCUUGUGUUUUCGGUGCACAAAGGCAGUAGGGGGUUGGACUCAAUGGCCCAAAGGGUCUCUUCCAACCCCUUUAUUAUUACUAUUGCUAUUAUUAUUAUUAUUAUUAUUAUUAUUAUUAUUAUUAUUAACAUUGAGGCUGGGUGGCCAUCUGUCAGGGGUGCUUUGCUUGUGUUUUCGGUGCACAAAGGCAGUAGGGGGUUGGACUCAAUGGCCCAAAGGGUCUCUUCCAACCCCUUUAUUAUUACUAUUGCUAUUAUUAUUAUUAUUAUUAUUAUUAUUAUUAUUAUUAUUAUUAUUAACAUUGAGGCUGGGUGGCCAUCUGUCAGGGGUGCUUUGCUUGUGCUUUUGGUACACAAAGGCAGAAGGGGAUUGGACGCAAUGGCCCAAGGGAUCUCUUCCAACCCUCUUUUUAUUAUUAUUGCUCUUAUUAUUAUUAUUAAUUAUUAUUGCUCAGUGGCCAACUAUAGUCCGGCCCUCCAACGGUCCGAAGGAUUGUGAACUGGCCCCCUGUUUAAAAAGUUUGGGGACCCCUGAUCUGUAGGAAGAGAAUGAGAGAGAGGAGGCUGGGAUGAGGCUCGUCCUUCCCAAGCUCCUUUAGACUCUAUCAUCCAGAAUCCCGGGCCAUUGCCUGAGGCAGCAGAGGCUUCUGGGAGCUGUAGUCCAAAGAGAGGACUACAGUGACAUGGGAAGCCUGGGAAUCUCCUGCUGCGUGCCCCCUUCUGGACUACAACUCCCAUCAUCCCUGCAGAAAGAAGGCUUUGGCAGGAGGGUUGUGGAUGCUGGGAGCUGGAGUCAGUCCCAGAGAAGUCUCCCGACCAAGGCUUUUUUUUUUUUCAUCACUCCAUCGCAUAGACUCCUAGAGUUGGAAGAGACCUGGUGGGCCAUCCAGUCCAACCCCAUUCUGACAAGAAGCAGGAAAAUCGCCUUUAAAGCACCCCCGACAGAUAUCCAUCCAGCCUCUAAAGAAGGAGCCUCCGCCACACUCUGCAGCAGGGAGUUCCACAGUUGAACAGCUCUCACAGUCAGGAAUGUCUUCCUGAUGUUCAGGGACCAUAAGCCAGAAAAAUAGUAAACUAGCCCGGGGCUGUGGCGCAGACGGGAGAGCAAGCCAGCUGCAAUUAACUGCAAUGAACCACUCUGACCAGGAGGUCAUGAGUUCGAGGCCCUCUCGGAGCCUAUGUUUGUUUGUCUUUGUUCUAUGUUAAAAGGCAUUAAAUGUUUGCCUAUAUGUGUAAUGUGAUCCACCCUGAGUCCCCUUCAGGGUGAGAAGGGUGGAAUAUAAAUGCUGCAAAUAAAUAAAUAAAAUAAAUAAACUAUUGCCUAUGUAGCUUUGCCUGUGCAUAUGCCCCUCCCUCCCUUCCUGUGAGCUGGUGCCUUUCUCCAGGAAGUUUCAAAGAGAGAAGAAAGCUCGGAGUAAACAAGUUAGGUCAUUGGUAUCACUUGUGCCAAAAUAGGUGUGGAAGGUGGGGAAGACCCUCAGCCAUAGAUCAAUUUUAGAUAAGCCGAGAUAUAAAUUCUUUGUUUGCUACGCACAUGUUGUGACGGCUAUUUGUAUCUGCUAUUUUGCCUUAUCAUCAGCUGUGAUAACAAUAAAAUGCUUGUUUUAUUGCUC